rnacentral:rRNA from 1 species
AGUGAACGCUGGCGGCAGGCCUAACACAUGCAAGUCGAGCGGCUGCAGGGGGCUAGCCCUUGGAUUCAGCGGCGGACGGGUGAGUAAUUCGUAGGAAUCUGCCUGUUAGUGGGGGAUAACGUCGGGAAACGGACGCUAAUACCGCAUACGUCCUACGGGAGAAAGUGGGGGAUCUUCGGACCUCACGCAGUCAGAUGAGCCUAGGUCGGAUUAGCUAGUUGGUGGGGUAAAGGCCUACCAAGGCGACGAUCCGUAACUGGUCUGAGAGGAUGAUCAGCCACACUGGAACUGAGACACGGUCCAGACUCCUACGGGAGGCAGCAGUGGGGAAUAUUGGACAAUGGGCGAAAGCCUGAUCCAGCCAUGCCGCGUGUGUGAAGAAGGUCUUCGGAUUGUAAAGCACUUUAAGUUGGGAGGAAGGGCAGUAAGUUAAUACCUUGCUGUUUUGACGGUACCAAAAGAAUAAGCACCGGCUAACUUCGUG